rnacentral:rRNA from 1 species
ACGGGUGAGUAACACGUGGGCAAUCUGCCCUUCACUCUGGGACAAGCCCUGGAAACGGGGUCUAAUACCGGAUAACACUUACCUCCUCCUGGGGGUGGGUUAAAAGCUCCGGCGGUGAAGGAUGAGCCCGCGGCCUAUCAGCUUGUUGGUGGGGUAAUGGCCUACCAAGGCGACGACGGGUAGCCGGCCUGAGAGGGCGACCGGCCACACUGGGACUGAGACACGGCCCAGACUCCUACGGGAGGCAGCAGUGGGGAAUAUUGCACAAUGGGCGAAAGCCUGAUGCAGCGACGCCGCGUGAGGGAUGACGGCCUUCGGGUUGUAAACCUCUUUCAGCAGGGAAGAAGCGCAAGUGACGGUACCUGCAGAAGAAGCACCGGCUAACUACGUGCCAGCAGCCGCGGUAAUACGUAGGGUGCGAGCGUUGUCCGGAAUUAUUGGGCGUAAAGAGCUCGUAGGCGGUCUGUCACGUCGGAUGUGAAAGCCCGGGGCUUAACCCCGGGUCUGCAUUCGAUACGGGCAGACUAGAGUGUGGUAGGGGAGAUCGGAAUUCCUGGUGUAGCGGUGAAAUGCGCAGAUAUCAGGAGGAACACCGGUGGCGAAGGCGGAUCUCUGGGCCAUUACUGACGCUGAGGAGCGA